GCAGUAAAAAGCCAAACUUGUUGUGAAGCAGGGACGGAAAGCUACGGAUCUUAUUUUAUGUAGAUGAGAUAGCCGGGUUACCUUA
rnacentral:ncRNA from 1 species